CAUAAGACAGUGCUUCAGUUCAUCAUAGCAUAUUUAGCUAUUGACUUUUUCACAAAAGAAAUGACUCUUCUUUUGGCCUUGUUAUGUCUCACAAGUGUUGCAGAUGUUUUAGGAAAGCAAAGGAUCAAUUCAGAAAAUAUAACACGGAUUCUAGACCGACUUCUUGAGGGUUAUGACAAUCGCCUGCGUCCGGGAUCUGGAGUGUCUGUAACUGAGGUCAAAACCGACAUAUUUGUCACAAGUUUUGGACCAGUAUCUGAUGUUAAGAUGGAGUUCACUAUGGAUAUGUUUUUCCGCCAAAUGUGGGUUGACGAGAGGUUAGCCUUUCAGGGGCCUGUCGAAAUCUUGCCUUUGAACAACCGCAUGGUGGACAAGAUCUGGACGCCCGACACGUUUUUUCGCAAUGCAAGGACAUCCCUCGCACACAACAUGACGUCUCCUAACAAGCUGUUUCGGAUCAUGCAAAACGGGACGGUCUUUUACACCAUGAGGCUGACUGUGAGUGCGGUGUGUCCAAUGGUGUUGAUGGACUUUCCAAUGGAUGGACACACAUGUCCUCUCCUGUUUGGAAGCUAUGCUUACACUAAUCGUGAAAUCGUCUACACGUGGAGGAAAGGUCUUCAAGCAUCAGUAGAUUUCCCUCCAGAAUCAUCAAGCUUACUUCAGUAUGAUCUUGUGGGUCAGACCUUAUUCAGUGAAACAUAUAAAUUCAGCACAGGUCUGUAUUCUGUCCAGGUUGUCCAUUUCUAUCUUCAGAGGAAGCUCGGCUACCAUCUCAUCCAGACGUACAUCCCAUUGAUUAUGGUGGUUGUGCUGUCACAAGUCGCAUUCUGGAUCAACAAGGAGUCUGUCCCGGCUCGAACGGUGGCUGGAAUCACCACUGUGCUCACCAUGACCACUCUGAGCAUCAGCGCCCGCUCCUCGCUGCCCAAAGUCUCCUACGCCACCGCCAUGGACUGGUUCAUUGCCGUCUGCUUCGCCUUCGUGGCUUCGGCCCUCGUUGAGUUUGCCGCGGUCAACUACUUUGCCACGCUUGAGGCCAACAGGGAAAAACGCCGGCUCUCCAGGGCCUCAAUUCUGGAGUCUAUAGCCCAAGGCAGCGACGACGAGCCGGAGACGCCUCAGUCUGAUAAUAGUGGCUUUAGCCGCAGAAGACGGGCAAACUCUGUGUUCGAGGCGCCCAGGACUCGCUAUCCCAUCUUCCUUCAGGGCUCGGCCGUCCCUCCCAAUAUGAUGCUUGCAGGCACCAGUGCCAUAGACAAAUACGCCCGCAUCCUCUUCCCUCUGGCCUUCGGGAUCUUCAACCUCAUCUACUGGUACAUCUACCUCAGCAAAGACACCUUGGAAAAGCCCAGGUCUGUGGUCUGAUAUCUGCUAACAGACUGAAAAAAAUGAACCACUUCACAUCAAGGAGGGAGGUUUUUGUAUUUUGUUUUUUCUUUCAGUUUUAUUAGCAUGUAAUGAGAUUAAAUGUGUUCUCAUGUCUUUGUGGGGCUCAAAUGCAACUUUUUUUUUUGCUAAAAACAAUGCUGAUUAAGAUGUAAAAUCUAGUUAAGACGUUACCUUGUAAUAUUUAUAUUUAAUAAUUCCCAUAAAUCACUAUUUUUUUAUGUCUUAAUGCAAGAUUAAUCUAAAUUUACCUAAAGACGUACAAUAUAUUUAAUACAAUACAGUACACUGUGCUGGGCACAUUACUUACAAAUUGUUGUGUUCAACAUAGUUUUAUCAAAUGAAAUGGUGAAAUCCUCUCAUAGCGCGCUGACGUGCACAUGUGUAGCCUACAUCAUGCAUCAAUAUAGUGAAGAGCUGAAAACACCACACGUGCUUCAGUGUGUGUGUGUGUGUGUGUGUGUAGUAGAGCACAAAUUCCCAGAGACGUGUAUAAUAACACCUUCAGGGCCGCUGCUGGCCAAAUGUGUGCCCUAAUCAGGACUGUAUUGUUGUGCCCCCCUUCCUCAAAUAUGAUGAUGAAAAAAAAUGAUGAAAAAAUAACUUUAAUCAAAUAAAAAACUAAAUGAAUAAAUUGUAUUAUGUACAAAUCACAAUUGUAGUUCUCGACAUUUACCUGUGGCUAUAACUUUAUUAUGACUCUAUUUUAUAGUCUCAAGCAUUCAGAAAUCAUGCAAAAGGAAACCUAAAUGAUUUAUACUUUAUUUUAAUAUAUAUUAAAAAUGUAUAAGGUGUGUGCAUUGAAGCUGACACAUAAAUGAACACAUUACAAUAUUUUUAUGACUGCAAGUCUUUCUCCUCAAAUGCUAUUGAGCUUCUAAUUUGCGUUUGAGCCCAUGUGAAAGAGUAGCAUAAUUUACAUAUGAUUUACAGAUUAUUUUAAUAAAUAUCAAACAUUUAAUUCAAUUGUACAUUAUAGCUGACACCUACGUGAACAAUUACAGUUGUCUGUAUGAGUAUAAGUCAUUCUCCUCAAAUGCUACUGACGUUAGAAAAGUGUAUACCAAUAUCGCAUGUAACUUUAGAGACGGUCCCUAAAUUUGAUACUGUCCAAUAUCAAGCCAAAUUUAUGUCUGUUUUUUUUUUUUUUUACUUUUAGUUUUCUUUUCUCUUUGCUGGAUUGGAUUCAUCCAUCAAUUAUGAACAUUCAGCCGCAAACAUGAGGUGCGCGAGGGAUGGGAUUUUUUUUUUUUUUUUGAGCAACUGGGAUGGUGCCCACUCUGGAAAUUGGUGCCCUAGGCAGAUUGAGUCAGUUCGGCAGUUCGGAGCGGGAUCGCGAAUCAUUUUAGUCAUUUUGGGUAUGGCGAAUCAUUUAAAUCAGUUCGGGAGUUCGUAGCGGGAUCGCAAAUCAUUUGAAUCAGUUAUGGGGAUCGCGAAUCAUUUGAGUCAGUUGGGGAGUUCGGAGCGGAAUCGCGAAUCAUUUAUAUCAGUUCAGGAGUUCGUAGGGGGAUCGCGAAUCAUUUGAGUCAGUUAUGGGGAUCGUGAAUCAUUUGAGUCAGUUUGGGAGUUCGGAGCGGGAUCGCGAAUCAUUUGACUCAGUUCGGGAGUUCGGAGCGGGAUCGCGAAUCAUUUGACUCAGUUCGGGAGUUCGGAGCGGGAUCGCGAAUCAUUUGAGUCAGUUAUGGGGAUCGCGAAUCAUUUGAGUCAGUUUGGGAGUUCGGAGCGGCUUCGCGAAUCAUUUGAGUCAGUUCAGGGAUCGCAAAUCAUUUGACUCAGUUCGGGAGUUUAAAGCGAGUUUGCGAAUCAUUUGAGUCAGUUCGGGGAUCGCAAAUCAUUUGACUCAGUUCGGGAGUUCAAAGCGGGUUCGCGAAUCAUUUGAGUCAGUUCGGGAUUUCAGAGCGGGAUCGCGAAUCAUUUGACUCAGUUCGGGAGUUCAAAGAGGGUUCGUGAAUCAUUUGAGUCAGUUCGGGAUUUUGGAGCGGGAUCACGAAUCAGGAAAGAUUCGCGCUCGUAAAUUUUCAAAUUGGCCAUAACCUUUAAUUCGUUGCUGCCAACUGGGGUGGCAGCAGGGGUGGCAAGGCUUUCUUUUAUGGUGGCAUUUGCCACCCUAUGCCACCCUGGUAGAUCCGCCCCUGCCUUUGACCUUGUUUAUCAGGGGAUUAUUGUGUACCAUAUUGAUGGGGAAAACAAAACAAAAAAAUCAAGCAGGGUUUCCCAAACUGGGAUUCAUGAACCAGCUGUAGGGUGUUUAUGAAAAACUAAUAAUUAAUGAAAUAAUGUAAAAAAAAAAUAAUGUCAUAAAAUUGUCAAAAGCUUGGGAAUCCCUACAUUACAUGAACAAGCAUUAAUAAACAUGAAUAUUACAUGGCCAAAGUGUUCCAGGCUAAAACUUUGUAAUAAUUAGUAACGGUAAACUGGAUAUGAUGAAAUUAUAGUAUAUUAUUACUCUUGUUUAUAUGAGUGGAAGAUACAAAAAUUUAGAACUGGAGUGAAUCAAUAAAUUAUAAAUAAUUUACCGACAUGGUGUGAAUAAUAUGUAAUAAUUUAUGCCAUAAGCAUUUUAAAAAACUAACUUGUCUGACCUGUAUUUAUUUAUUUUUUCUGUAAAGAAUGUAGGAUAAACACAUGAGACAAAAGUGAUAGCAUAAUUGAGAACUCUUAGGCCUCUUAGGGACGAGGUCUUGUAUUGGCAAUUCUUUGCUAUUCAUUUUUCCUUAAUUGGAAAUGGUUUGGCUAUUCAUAUUUAUGUCUGUUCUUGAGCUUAUCUUCUCAGCUCCACAGAAUGCUGUAGAUGUGUUUCUCAGGAAACUAUGAUGGCACACAGGUUUGCACUGGAUGUGUUAUCGAGGCUGUAAAUACAUGAAUAAUUUCUGAACCUAAAACAGCCGCAGGACUCGAGCAGGUGAAGACAGGAGAGAUGAUGUUCCUUCUGGGUGACUCUGUUGCUGCGGUUCUUGAGGGAGAUCGAGUGAGCUUCUUCUGAAAGGCUCCAGAUGUAUUCAGCAGUAAGACCGUGCUCUCCUUUCGACCGCUCUCUCACUUUCAUCAUCUAGCAACUUCAUCCCUGAUGGAGCACGAGGCUGUCUGACACUAUUUGACAAGCAUUUGAUCCUGUUUCUUUCCUGUUUUAUCACCCAUAUAGACUUUCCACUCCAUUUGCCUUUACUGUAUAUUCACAGCCAAGGGCCACGUCGUUAUACUAGCCCUGGUACAUUGCAAACCCUCCUCUGGUUCUGCUCUAGUUCUGCAUGUGUGUGUGUGUAAGGAGUUGAUGACAUAAUCUACAGCUCUCUAACUGGUGAUGCAACAUUGAACCAAUGCUUUCAGUGGCCUGCCCUCUACAGAGACACGGCUCGCACUGCACUAGAUCAAAAGCGCCGGGUUUAUACUGACAGCUUCAAAGAUUUCGCCUUGAAAAUAAAGGAGAAAAAGUGCAUCCAUAGAACUGAACUUUUACUAACACCAUUCACACGCAUACGUUUUCAGACCCGUACGGUGUCUCUCUUGACGUGGUGGCGCUGUGAAAGAGGGAUGGAGUAAAUCCCAGUGUGGGGGGUGGAUAAUAUUUAAUAUGUAUUCUCAUAUUACGGUCUAUUUGAUGUUGUCUGAUGUUUCUCUGUGCAUCCAGAUCUCGUCUCUCUCUCUCUCUCUCUCUCUCUCUGUUGGGAGAACAUGCUCAUGCCCAGGAAUUGUGUUUAUCAUUGUAAAUGGCUUUUAAAACCCAAUGUAGCACUGAAUUAUAAACAUGGAGGUGCUAGUGUAAAAAUCUCAGUAAUUGAUUACAUUGUUGUAUAAUGCAUUUAUGCAUUAGUGUUUUUCGCCCAACUAGGAUAUGUUUUCUUCAUAUGUUGUAUUUGUCUGAUGGUCCAGUCAUGCAUUCCACUAAACAUUUUAUGUUUAA